AAAUUUAUUAAGUGGCCACUUAGUUUACUAUCAGUAAACAGUAAAAUAUUUUCUUGACAACAGCUUAUUAAGUCAAUUUCAAUGUUGACAAAAUGGUCUUUUGUGUUGAUGAUUUGUUGGGGAUUUUUCUGUCUUUUACUCCAGUGUAAAAGCCAAAUGUGACACUAGGUGGCAGGACCUUCAUUCUUAUGAACCUCCCUCACUUGAGGUCUGAUACAAGGUAUUUUACUCUCUGUGUUCAAUGCCAUUGAAGACUGGCAGUCUUUAUAGUCCACCAUUGAGAGUUAACUGGUAAACCUGUAUGAGCCAAGAGCAUUGUUAUUAUGGUUACCUGCAUUUUAUGUGUCCUAUCACACCUAUUACAUCAGUUUAGGGAAGGGUUUUUACUAAACUGAUUGACUGUCAGUGGUUAAACUGAUGACAUCAUCUGAGGAGGAACAGGUCUCCUACAGUCAUGACAUCACUGUUAAGUAACUGUGACAUCACAGUGACAUCAUCGUUCUCAGUGCUUGGCUUGAUGACAUCACAGUGAUGUCACAGAAAGACCCAGCUGAAAACAUGUAAAUAGAACCUGUCUGACCCUUUAGGUUCACCUCCCUCUCUACAGAGAGUUGGACAGCUCUGAACCUCAGAGCUGAGCCGGUUGGAGCUUCUGUUCCAGGAUGGUGGAGGGCUGUUGCCCUGGCAGGAACCAAGAAGCACAUGAAGUGAGCACAAGCCCUCAGUGACUUUCCUUCGCUGCCUUGGUUAUGGGGAACUGCCUGAGGCAGCUGACCUCCAGUCAGCCAGAACAGAGGCUCUGUGGGGGUUAGGAAGGGUUUUAGGGAGGGUUUUAUGGGAAGGGUUUUAUGGGAAGGGUUUUAGGGGAAGGGUUUUAUGGGAAGGGUUUUAGGGAAGGGUUUUAGGGGAACAGUUUUAGGGUUUUAGGGAGUGUUUUAGUAAACUCUCCCUAAAACGAUUUUCAGGAGGGUUUUAGGGAAGCCAACUACAACUAAGCCAACCCUUCCCUGCAUGGAAAUGUCAGAAUUUAAGUUUAGGGAAGGUUUUUUACUAAACUGAUUGUCAGUGGUUAAACUGAUGACAUCAUCUGAGGAGGAACAGGUCUCCUACAGUCAUGACAUCACUGUUAAGUAACUGUGACAUCACAGUGACAUCAUCGUUCUCAGUGCUUGGCUUGAUGACAUCACAGUGAUGUCACAGAGACCCAGCUGAAAACUUGUAAAUAGAACCUGUCUGACCCUUUAGGUUCACCUCCCUCUCUACAGAGAGUUGGACAGCUCUGAACCUCAGAGCUGAGCCGGUUGGAGCUUCUGUUCCAGGAUGGUGGAGGGCUGUUGCCCUGGCAGGAACCAAGAAGCACAUGAAGUGAGCACAAGCCCUCAGUGACUUCGCUGCCUUGGUUAUGGGGAACUGCCUGAGGCAGCUGACCUCCAGUCACCCAGAACAGAGGCUCUGUGGGGGUUAGGAAGGGUUUUAGGGAGGGUUUUAUGGGAAGGGUUUUAUGGGAAGGGUUUUAGGGGAAGGGUUUUAUGGGAAGGGUUUUAGGGAAGGGGUUUUAUGGGAAGGGUUUUAGGGGAAGGGUUUUAGGGAA